rnacentral:rRNA from 1 species
GUAAGCUGGAGGAAGUGGGGAUGACGUCAAAUCAUCAUGCCCCUUAUGACCUGGGCUACACACGUGCUACAAUGGUUGGUACAACGAGUUGCGAGUCGGUGACGGCGAGCUAAUCUCUUAAAGCCAAUCUCAGUUCGGAUUGUAGGCUGCAACUCGCCUACAUGAAGUCGGAAUCGCUAGUAAUCGCGGAUCAGCACGCCGCGGUGAAUACGUUCCCGGGCCUU